ensembl:lncRNA
UUUUAAACUACAGAUUUAAUUGCCUCCUGACAAAGGACUGUUUAGUGUUUCCGCAUCUUCUGGUGGUACCCUUGUACACAUUUGCAGAGCAGUAGUCAAAGACGUAUGUGCAUCCCUCUGCUGACCCACGGAGUUUAUCUUUUGUGAGGCUCCCUCCUCUCCGAUAACCUGCUUCACACACUGAAGCCACCUUGGUGGGCUCAAACCCCAGUCUCUGUCUCCUCAACUGGAGAUCCCCAUCAUGCUCCUCAAACCAGAGCUGGAGGACUCCCCUGGAGCUCUGUCUUGGUCCUUGAUGAUGCCACUUCCAAAUCUGCAGCUGCAUUGAGCCAAGACCAAAGAUAAUAAAUGGGGAAAAAAUUAGAAUGCUACAUAUUCACAGUGAAAUACUGAGUCCAGUGUCCUAUAGAAGUCACAGGAGCAAAGAAAAGAUGACAUGAUGUUAUUACCUUCAUCUACUCCUCACCUCAUGUGAAUCAUUAUGACAGAAAACCUGAAAUAUAAUUCAAGGUGGUUUAAUAAAUUAUUAUAUUUUGGGGGCAAUUCA